rnacentral:rRNA from 1 species
UACGAAGGGUGCAAGCGUUAUUCGGAAUCAUUGGGCGUAAAGGGUGUGUAGACGGUAUGUUUAGUCUAUUGUUAAAUCUUCCGGCCUAACCGGAAAUCAGCAGCAGAUACUGGCUUACUAGAGGGUGGAAGAGAGAAGUGGAAUUCUCGGAGUAGCGGUAAAAUGCGUAGAUCUCGAGAGGAACACCAAUGGCGAAGGCAGCUUCUUGGUCCAUACCUGACGUUGAGACACGAAAGCGUGGGGAGCAAAC